UACGAAGGGGGCUAGCGUUGUUCGGAAUUACUGGGCGUAAAGCGCACGCAGGCGGAUCGACAAGUUGGGGGUGAAAUCCCGGGGCCCAACCUCGGAACUGCCUUCAAAACUAUUGAUCUAGAGGUCAGGAGAGGCGAGCGGAAUUCCGAGUGUAGAGGUGAAAUUCGUAGAGAUUCGGAGGAACACCAGUGGCGAAGGCGGCUCGCUGGACUGAUACUGACGCUCAGGUGCGAAAGCGUGGGGAGCAAACAGG
rnacentral:rRNA from 1 species